rnacentral:rRNA from 1 species
UACGUAGGGGGCUAGCGUUGUCCGGAAUCAUUGGGCGUAAAGCGCGCGUAGGCGGCCCGGUAAGUCCGCUGUGAAAGUCAGAGGCUCAACCUUUGAAUGUCAGCGGAUACUGCCGGGCUAGAGUCCGGAAGAGGCGAGUGGAACUCCUGGUGUAGCGGUGGAAUGCGCAGAUAUCAGGAAGAACACCAACGGCGAAGGCAGCUCGCUGGGACGGAACUGACGCUAAGGCGCGAAAGCGUGGGGAGCGAACAGG